CCUACGGGGUGCUGCAGUGGGGAAUAUUGCACAAUGGGGGAAACCCUGAUGCAGCGACGCCGCGUGAGUGAAGAAGUAUUUCGGUAUGUAAAGCUCUAUCAGCAGGGAAGAAAAUGACGGUACCUGAGUAAGAAGCCCCGGCUAACUACGUGCCAGCAGCCGCGGUAAUACGUAGGGGGCAAGCGUUAUCCGGAUUUACUGGGUGUAAAGGGAGCGUAGACGGCAGCACAAGUCUGGAGUGAAAUGCCGGGGCUUAACCCCGGAACUGCUUUGGAAACUGUGCAGCUAGAGUGCAGGAGAGGUAAGUGGAAUUCCUAGUGUAGCGGUGAAAUGCGUAGAUAUUAGGAGGAACACCAGUGGCGAAGGCGGCUUACUGGACUGUAACUGACGUUGAGGCUCGAAAGCGUGGGGAGCAAACAGGAUUAGAUACCCCUGUAGUC
rnacentral:rRNA from 1 species